rnacentral:ncRNA from 1 species
UACACCGCAGGCGGUUGAAAUACCGCUACCAGUGGAAAUUACGCCGUAAAAGGCAUGGUUUAGUAAGCGAAAGCCCAGGAACCAUGAGGCAAUAAGA